rnacentral:rRNA from 1 species
ACGGAGGAUGCGAGCGUUAUCCGGAUUUAUUGGGUUUAAAGGGUGCGUAGGCGGAUCAAUAAGUCAGUGGUGAAAUUCUGCAGCUUAACUGUAGACUUGCCAUUGAUACUGUUGGUCUUGAGUAUGGUCAAGGUAGGCGGAAUGUGUGAUGUAGCGGUGAAAUGCGUAGAUAUCAGGCGGAACACCGAUUGCGAAGGCGGCUUGCUGGGCCGAUACUGACGCUGAUGCACGAAAGCGUGGGGAUCGAACAG